UCGCUGUGUGUUACAAGUGUCACACGGAACUGCCGGUCAUAAACCGGAGGAAGUGGGGAUGACGUCAAGUCAGCAUGGCCUUUAUAUCCUGGGCUACACACACGCUACAAUGGGAAGGGACAAUAGGUUGCGAAACCGCGAGGUGGAGCCAAUCCAGCAAAACUUCCCUCAGUUCAGAUUGCAGGCUGCAACUCGCCUGCAUGAAGUUGGAGUUGCUAGUAAACGCAGGUCAGCCAUACUGCGUUGAAUACGUUCCCGGGGCUU
rnacentral:rRNA from 1 species